rnacentral:rRNA from 1 species
GAUGAACGCUGGCGGCAUGCCUAACACAUGCAAGUCGAACGGAGAUUAAGAAGCUUGCUUUUUAAUCUUAGUGGCGGACGGGUGAGUAACGCGUGAGUAACCUGCCUAUAAGAGGGGGGAUAACACAGAGAAAUUUGUGCUAAUACCGCAUAUUGAGAAUUAUUCGCAUGUUUGAUUCUUGAAAGAUUUAUCGCUAACAGAUGGGCUUGCGUCUGAUUAGAUAGUUGGUGGGGUAACGGCCUACCAAGUCGACGAUCAGUAGCCGGACUGAGAGGUUCAACGGCCACAUUGGGACUGAGAUACGGCCCAGACUCCUACGGGAGGCAGCAGUCGGGAAUAUUGCGCAAUGGAGGAAACUCUGACGCAGUGACGCCGCGUAUAGGAAGAAGGUUUUCGGAUUGUAAACUAUUGUCUGCAGGGAAGAAACAAGACUGUACCUGCAAAGAAAGCUCCGGCUAACUACGUG